GACGAACGCUGGCGGCGUGCCUAAUACAUGCAAGUUGAGCGCUGAAGGUUGGUACUUGUACCGACUGGAUGAGCAGCGAACGGGUGAGUAACGCGUGGGGAAUCUGCCUUUGAGCGGGGGACAACAUUUGGAAACGAAUGCUAAUACCGCAUAAAAACUUUAAACACAAGUUUUAAGUUUGAAAGAUGCAAUUACAUCACUCAAAGAUGAUCCCGCGUUGUAUUAGCUAGUUGGUGAGGUAAAGGCUCACCAAGGGGAUGAUACAUAGCCGACCUGAGAGGGUGAUCGGCCACAUUGGGACUGAGACACGGCCCAAACUCCUACGGGAGGCAGCAGUAGGGAAUCUUCGGCAAUGGACGAAAGGCUGACCGAGCAACGCCGCGUGAGUGAAGAAGGGUUUCGGAUCGUAAAACUCUGUUGGUAGAGAAGAACGUUGGUGAGAGUGGAAAGCUCAUCAAGUGACGGUAACUACCCAGAAAGGGACGGCUAACUACGUG
rnacentral:rRNA from 1 species